ensembl:lncRNA
CUUUUUUUAAUUUUGAAAAUUUAGAGGUAGUUUCUAGAACCCAGUAACAAUUCUACUCACAGUAAGAAGGGAGGGAAAGGGAAACUGGUAAAAAGAUGCUACAGUAGAAUGUGUUAAAUAAGUACAUAAUUUUCCAAGGUACUUGGCAAACGUUUAAAAUGUGGAAAUGCUUCCUCAACUUAAAUUGAAGAAGUGGGAAAUAAAUUACACUAAAGGGCAUUUGAGGUUCCUUAUAGGAAACAUUUGAAAGGAGCCAAGGUAUUGAGGUAGGUGGUACACAGCUUGAUAGUUUCCUAAGCUACCUACUACUUAUGUGCCUGUCAUUAAGAGAAUGUUAUGCUACCAAUAGUUUAUUUAGAUGGUAGCUGUGAAGCUUUCUCUGAUAUUAGUGAUUAUUUUCAAAAGCUCUUUUGUUUGCUGACUUAAAUGGGUUCUAUAUUGAGCCUUGGAAUGAAUGUAUAACCCCUUGAAGGAAAAUGGGACAUACAAUCCCCAGCACACUAGCUUUAAAAUAAGCUAGAUUGAUAGGAGUGAGACAUUUUAGUUUUGUCAUCUUGAUUAGUCCAAGCCAUAGGAUUAUAUUUGCUUCUCUAUCUGGACCAACUUAGUUGUAUGAACACGUAAAGCUUCUUUGUGUAAAACUUCUGUGUAAUGUCACAUAUUCAAAUGAUGGUAAUUUGAGAUCAAGUUAAGCAGAUACUUAAAAAGUUUUAGAGCCUUUUUUUUUUUUUUUUUUAAUUUUACCUUGUUAGCAAUAAAACUUUUUGCAUUUGCGUUGAUAUCUCUAGGAUAUACCUUUAUAUUCCCCAUAAGUUUGAUAGUCGAAUGUUAAAAGUAUGCAGGAAAGAUUAAUUUCCUCAUUUCAUCCUAAACUGACUUGGCUACCUAGCAGAAGUGGUUUUCCCAAUCUACUACUGUUCUGGUGACGAAAGUUAAUGCUACUGAUUGAUCUGUCACAUCAGGCAUACUCAUCUUGUCAGUCAUGCUUUAGUAAAUAUCUUUGUUGCCUACCUGCCUUUUCCUUGGAAUUUGUUCACUAAUUUGUCUAAUUCACAAUGGAAUCGCCACCAAAAGAUAAGUUUAAUUUUCCCUAACCUAUUCCAAAUCAGAAACAGGUGCUCCCCAAGAAGGUCUUUUCAUUUCACAACUCUGAAGAGGUGAUCCCAUUUGUUAACUUUAGGAGUUUGACCUUUUAAUCAUAACCUCAGGUUCUCAGACUUAAGUUUAUUGGCUUUUUCUUCAUGCUUUAACAAGCAUAGCCCAUAUCUCUAUAAAGUAUCCAGAAUCUCAUUUUUUCUCAGGCAAAAUUCCAUUUCAGUUUCUUCCAAAUUCCUUAGUUCAAUGGAUUGAUUUUUUUUUUUCCUUAGGCCUCUUUGUCUUGAGUUUUGACUUGACUAUGCACUCCUAAAUAUUCUACAUUUCUCACGAUUUGCCACUUUUUCUGGGUUUUCUGCUUAAUUUCCAGUCCUUAAUUCCCGACAGUAAAUGCUUUUAACAGUUGCUCUGUCUCUACCAGUUCAUCGCAGUCUCCAGUGUUAUUCUUUGUAACUGUUGGCAAUAUGCUUAUUAGGGUUUUCAGUCUUUUAAUCCACAUACGUGCUAAAUUGAUUUACCUAAUAACAUAGGUCCAAAAAUAUUUGUCUCCUUGUUGCUCUUAGAAUAAAAUAAGUAUAUUCUGCAAUUUAGAACUUGACCUAAUUUAGUCAAAUGUCCUUUUUCAAGCAUAUUUCGUAUUUCCCUUUACCUUUUUACCCCUUUAUUUCCUUCGAAUUCCUGCCUUUGUAUGAGAGGGACCCCAAGCCUGGUGGCUUUAAAAAAUCCAUUUCAUGUUCUACUUCCUAUAUUGACUUUCUUGAUAGCAAUCUUAAAUUAUAUAAGUAUACAUUGUUCUUGUUAUAUGUUUAGUCAAAGUAGCACAGGAAGGUACUGUUGCAUCUUUGUACCAACCAGCCCCGAGUACAGGCCUUUAUUUAAUAAAGUAUUAAUGGAAUUUCUUGAAUUGUUAUACUUUGUAAACAUGUAUAAAAUAUGUGAGAGGGCUGGGGAAAAAAACUGGUA